CAUUUAGCGAAAUCAUGGCAUUUUCUGGCCUACCCAAUUAAAAGAAAGAAACAGAGAAGCUGCUAGCACUAGCGUGCCAUUUUUCCAGCUUUAACUCCUCAUGUGCCACAUCCUGCACAGUUACAGUGUUACCAGAAGUAACUUCACGUGGAAGCGUAUCUCAGAGGUAACGCAGGAGACAUUUCAUUUGUAACUCUUAAAACUGUACCGCUUAUUAAAAAGAAAAAGACACAAAAAGAAAAUGUAUAUAAAAAUUAUUUUAAUAAAAAUUUAAAUUUCUCCCUUCAAAAAAUAGGCCAAAUUAAUUCUGGCAUAGUGUGGAAGGUAGGGGAAAAUGACAACAAACCCCCUGAUUUGUCCUUUUAUAUGUUUGGGAUUAAAAAUUUCCUCCCUACCAUCAUCUAUCAUUGUGGAUGCAAAGGAAAUCACAAAUCACAUUGCAAAACAAAUUUUGCAUAGGCAGAAGAGCACUCCUGAGAUGAUGAGACAGGCAGCUGUGUGCCAUUUAGCAAUGAGAUUGGUUCAGACUGCCAGAAAUUCUUGAUUGGAUCCAGACAGUUUGCCAAUACGUUUGAAAGGCUUGAAGAAGUAUGAAGCCAGUUGUCAUGCACCUCGACAGAGCGAUGAGCAACAGUAACGUAUUGCACAGGCUGUUGCUCUAAUUUUUGUGACUGCGAGGUGAUUCUGGUUUUUCCCAUAGCAUUAGAAAACACUGCUUUCCACAUGUUUUUAAUUUCUUAAUGAUUAGUCUGAAUUAUAUUCACUACUGAAAGGGUGAAUAUCCUUCAUUGGGUUUUUCCACAAAACACACCUGAAAUAAAAGCAUUUACUCGGUACGAGGAACACAGUUGUUUUUUAUAAUGGACGACUCUAUCCCUUUCAUUAUUUUAUAGAAACAAAGAAGUGGUAUAACGUUUAGUAUUUUCUUCUGAUGUAUCUGCUAUUAUGGUUCUUACAUCUCAUAAUAAAGAUCUUGCCUAAUGAAAAGAGUCUUUGAAAUAGAUGGUCCAUUUGUCUCUCACAGACAUACUCUACUUGCACUGUUGAACAUGCAUCCAUAAAUCCUGUUGUUCCCUAUUCCAGGAGGGUUCCAGCUCUACCAAUCAUUACUCUUAAUCCAUCACAAAGUCCAGGAGCACUUCCCCUCCAGAACUGGGCAGUCACAGCUUUUUUUUUGUAACAUACUAACAACAAAUUACUGUGGUGAUGACACGGUUGAUCAGGUUUUGUUUAGAAAGUGAGUAACAGGAAAUCAAUGAGAAGUUGAAUAUCCUUCCUCCUUGGGGUUUUGGGUUCUUUUUAGUACAACUUCAUUGAGUGACGGCAGCCAUGUGUUCCAGUGUGAAUGAAUAUAUCUUUCUUCCCUUCCAUCUAACCAACUUUGGCCUAGAGUUCUUACAUUUCAUUUAUGUGUAUGUGCAUAUACAGAAUUUACUAUUCAUUUAUCUAUUAAAUGGGUAAUAUAGAA